GGAGAGGUGGCAGAGUGGACGAUUGCUUUCGACUCGAAAUCGAAUGUACCGCAAUGGUACCGGGGGUUCGAAUCCCUCCCUCUCCGCCA
rnacentral:tRNA from 1 species